CCUAACAUGAGCAUAUGCGCAGUCUGGUCAGAGGCGAUGCUAGUUCGCUAUAAAACCACUUAAUGUGUUAUGGUCUCAUUAUGUAUCUCCUGACCAGACUGAGAGAUGCACAUGCUGAACAGGCUAUAUAAAGAUAUAUAGAUAUUGCGAAUUUUAUAAAUAACAAAGAAGGAAAUUAAUUGGGCAUGUGUAACCUACAAGUUUAAAUUUCUAAUAUCAAGGGAGACAAUAGCAACAUAUCUUGGAUAACUGGUAAAAAUGUUGAGAUUUCUUUCGUUUUCAAGGAGAAACGUAAACUAAGUCAGUUUUCCACUCAGUUUUGUCAGAAACGAGACAUUGACAACUUUUGUUGUUGAAGAAUGCCAUUUCCGUUGUUGAAAUUGGCCGCGUUAGCAUUGGGUCAAAUUAGCAAACGCGUGGCAUCAGCAGUGAAAACCAAAGCAAAGGAAGAUGAGAGAUUUCGGAACAGGCUUAUCAAAGUUGGUCAAAGCUUCCAAUCCAUUCAAGUCAAAGCCUCAAUGUGGAAGCAUGGCUGGGGAACGAAGACUACGGCAGUCAAGCCUUUGAGUGAACAGGCAGCCAUAGAUCUGACUACAGAGAUAAUCAAUGAUGUUGUAAUAGUGGUGUGUGGACUCGCAGUUUACAUGUUGUUUCAGCAUAAAUCUGACGAUGGUCCCAAGGAAGAAGAGCUUGAUACUCUUAAGAAGCUUGUGUAUAAUCAGACUAUUGAGUUGGAACGACUGUCUAAGAAGGUUGAAAUCUUGGAUGAGAAACUAAGUCGAUCAACUAUGUUUUCAAAAACUGCUAGCAGAGUUGUAGAAGAUUUCAAUAAAUGCUACACAUCGAAACCUAAAGUGUAGCAGACAUAACAUGCUGAUAAUAGUUUGUGUGUUUGCUGUAUGAUUAACUAUUAGUAUUAAGUGAUUACUUAAGAGCUUAGAAUUAAGUUAUUGUCAAUUUUAUUUUUAUGCCCCCCUUCGAAGAACAGGGGGUAUAUUGUUUUGCACAUGUCAGUAGGUCGGUCGGUCCCUCCGUCCAUCCACCAGAUGGUUUCCGGAUGAUAACUCAAGAACGCUUAGGCCUAGGAUCUUUAAACUUCAUAGGUACAAUGAUCAUGACUGGCAGAUGACCCCUAUUGAUUUUGAGGUCACUAGUUCAAAGGUCAAGGUCACAGUGACUCGAAAUAGUAAAAUGGUUUCAAGAUGAUAACUCAAAAACGCUUACGCCUAGGAUCAUGAAACUUCAUAGGUACAUUGAUCAUGACUGGCAGAUGACCCCUAUUGAUUUUCAGGUCACUAGGUCAAAGGUCAAGGUCACAGUGACUCGAAACAGUAAAAUGGUUUUCUGAUGAUAACUCAUGAAUAAUUAGGCCUAGGAUCAUGAAACUUCAUAGGUAAAUUGAUCAUGACUGGCAGAUGACUAGAGCUGCAACGAUUUGAUCCGAUGCAUCGAAAAACGGUUUGAAAUGCGUCGAUUCAAUUACGAUACCAAACCUACCGAAUUCGGUUUGAUUCUUUAACAUAUAGACAUAUAUAUAUAUACAUAGAUACGUAAAGCUCGCUGUAUUCUGAUUAUUUAAUACGGAAAGAUGUAGGUUAUAUCUUUACCUGUAAUUACGACGCGCGCCAUUGGCUGCUUAUUACUUUAGUCAUCCAGCGCGUUAAGAUCUACUUUCGGAAAAAGCGUCAAAAUGGCUGAGCAAGUUGUGGCCGACAAAUUGAAAUUAUCAGAUGCGCCUAAGAAGCUAAAAUCAAAAGUGUGGCAGUAUUUUGGGUUUCAUGAUGGUAGCCCUCCCAAUAAAGCAAAGUGUAAACUGUGCUUCAUGGAUGCAAACAUAACGUUGAUUUAGCAAGACUAACAGGUAGCACAAGUGCAACUACUCAAGUCGCCAGCCAGAAAAGUAGUUCUGUUUCUGUUGGGAAUUUGUUAAGUUUAUUAGAGAAUGUUCUUUGUCCUACAGGUAACAGGUGAUGCUGUCACGGCACAAUGGUAGACAUUCUUGUAGCGGUUUUGGAUAUAAUAGUGAUAGUACUAUCACUCCACUGAUUCCAGAUGUUCUUAUGAUUAUUUAUUUAAUUUUAUAUUAUUGUGUAUUCAACACAAUCUUCUAGUCAUAAGUUUUUUUUAAAUUAAAAUUGAGUCCUAAUUUGCUAUUCUUUUUUAUGUGUUUUAAUGAAAUAUUGACAUAGUUUGAAAGACAAUUGGCAGUUUCUUGCAAAAUAUUUCUUACAAAUGUUAAUUUAACACACUUUCAACAGUUUUUAAAACACUGUUGAACCAACCAAACUAUAUCAAACAAACACACAAUUUGACAAAUGCCCAAGAUAUCUAGGUAUGCGACGCUUUUGAACAGAAAUGUUUAUUUUGAGGCAGAAGAGUGAAUAUAUGAUACAACUAGGUUUGAAGAUGAAUCGAAUCAAAACAAUCGGUAUCGGAGUGACUGAAAUCGAUAUGGAAUCGAGCUGUAUGUGAAUCGUUGCAGAUCUACAGAUGACCCCUAUUGAUUUUCAGGUCACUAGGUCAAAGGUCACGGUCGCAGUGACAAAAAACGUAUUCACACAAUAGGUGCCCCUACAACUGACAGCCCAUAUUGGGGGCAUGCAUGUUUUACAUACAGCCCUUGUUUUAAAAGUAUUUACCAAUUAUUAAGAAAAAUGCUUUUGAAGGGUAAUAAUUUUGUUAUGCAAAUGGUUAUCACAUUAUUUAAAUCUUAAACUGCACAUAUACAGAUAUACUUGUAAACAAGUGAUGCUAGUCAAUAAUUUUGUUCGAAAAGAGUAAUAUUGUAGAAUUUUAGAUUUCCAAUCAUGAGCAGGGCAACAGAUAAGAUUUUAAGUCAAUUAGUUUUCAUUGCAUGCCAAGCUUUUUCUAACAAUUAGUUUUUUUCCCUCAAAACUAUUUUUCAAUUAGUUUUUUUACAAUUUGAUCAAAAUGUACAUAUAUUUCUGGAUCAGAUUAGCGCUUCAUUUUUGAUUAUUGAUAAUUCUCAGCAACUCUUAUUCCAAUUAAGUCAUUAUAAAUUUACAGUGACAAUGGUUGUUUGUAAUUAUUAGUUUUAAUUGUAUAUUAACAAAUGGAUGAUGGAGUCAUUCAGUUUAAACCAGUUUCAACACUCCUGCCUUUCAGUCUCAGUGCACACUCACAUUGCCAAACCCUCUCCAUCAAUGACAAGCCAGUGGAAAUCACGAUGUUGUGAGUUUUUUAGGCAUGGAAUCGCAGUGGUGUUAUGAGCCAAAUAUUUCAGAAUCUGUCACCACCUGUGCUAUUAAAUGUGAUAGUAUAAUAUUCACAACGUCUUUUCCCGACGGUUUGGGUCUCGUAACGAAUUUUCAAAAUAUUGGGCGCGUUUGGGUCUCGUAACGAAUUUUCAAAAUAUUGGGCGCGCACGCCGUUUAUGAAAGUUAACAGAGAACCUUUCCCGAACUUAUUUCGGCGGAAGUAACUUUUUAUAUUGACACCGGCCCAAAACAGAACUAACUGAAAAUAUUUCAGCAACACUAAAGGUUACAAUACACUAAUUAUAAUUAAACGCGGUACGGCGGAAAAUAGAACAACUAAAACGACGAAGAAUCAAUUUCAAUUCGUUUUCCAUUUUCAUAAUCCUUUUCUGUACGAUUGAUUUUAAAUUUCAAUUGGUUUUCUGUCAAAUACAAAUCGUAAAGACGAUAAAACGAACCGUAUCUGUUGCCCUGCAUGAGUAUUGUUAAAAACAAAUGAAGAAAUUAAGAUUUUUGCCACUUUUUGUAUGUCUAAACAAAGCUUCAUUAUGUUGUAAUUGUUUUAACCCUUUCAGUGCUGGAACCGAAUUUGGAAGGCCUUUGCAAACAGUUUGGAUCCAGAUGAGACCCCACAGAACGUGGCAUCUCAUCAGGAUCCAAACUGUUUGCUAUUCUAUAGUAUUCUUUGAAAAAAAUCGAAGAAAAUGAUAAUUUUAGAAAUUCAGCAGACUACAUUUUAGCAGGCGACAAAUUACCCAGCAUGCAAAGGGUUAAGUACCGUAUCUGUUCAACCCUUUCCCGCUCAGAAGCAAAGUGAAAAAGGCUACUAUAGUAUGUGCAAACAGCAUAAAACCAGAAAUUAUGUUGCAGUUUUAUUGUUUUACUAAAUUUGUGCUUGCUGUGAUAACAGAAAAAAUUGAUAACUAAUAUCUGGACCGUGAACUAUGUCAACACGUUCUAAAACAAGGUUGAUGUAACUUGGUGUGUGCAUAGUUGUGGUAUAUGCUAAAUAUGAACAUUAUUUUACUUUUUUGUCAGAAAAAAUUGUAGGGAAUACAAAUAUUGUUUUAGAUUGUUCAUCAUACAAAAUUUGUGACUGCAAUCCCCUUCUGGUUUAGAGCUAUACUGUCCCCUAUAAAGUCACGAAAGUUUUCCUUGUCUCAUUAGUGGACAGGGUAGUUCUUGACCAGACAAUGUGGAUGCACAGGCUGGUCUAGAGACACACUGACCACAUAUGGCUUUCAACUUGUUUUUUUCAUGAAGCGAGUCAUUAGCCCCCAGCUCAAUUCACUUCUUGAAGAUUUCAAAAGCUGGAUUGACAACGACACGCUUUCCAAAGAGACGUUUUUAUCAACAAAUAUGUUUUGAAAAGAUUUUAUUCAAUGUUUGGAAAUAUUAAGGACAUUGCAUGACAAUUAACACAAGUUUACAUUUGCAGUCAAUGGAUUUUACACCUAUAAAUACCUAUUGUUGUGUAAGGUGGAUUAAAAUUUGGAAUUUUUUACUUUUUAGAGUUUUUAAUCAUCAAUAUUUAAAUAAUUAUGUUCCAUGCAUAUUUUAUGCAGAAUCACAGCUGAAGCUCUGAUAGAUUACCAGUAUGCAAGUGUAUAAUACUUAGUAUGAUGCGAUAUUGAAAGUCUGAGCGUUAUUUGCUGUGCUUUUUUAGUCCCCUACCGGUGAAACCAGAGGGGACUUCUAGUUUGCGCUCUGUGUGUCUGUGAGUCUGUCUGUCACACUUUUCUGGAUCUUGUGAUAACUUUAAAAGUUCUUCAUCUUUUGUGAUCGCCUUUUGUCCGUCCUCCGUUGUGCGGUGUCAACAUUUGCCUUGUUAACAUUUAUUGUCCAAUCUUCAUGAAAUUUGGUCUGAUGAUUGUUCUCAAUGAUAUCUUGGAUUAGUUUGAAAAUGGUUACGUUGCCUUGAAAAACAUGGCUGCCAAGGGGCAGGGCAUUUUUCCUUAUAUGGCUAUAGUAAAACCUUGUUAACACUCAGACUCUAGAGACCACAUUUAUUGUCCAAUCUUCAUGAAACUUUGUCAGAACAUUCUUCCCAAUAAUAUCUUGGACAAGUUCGAAAAUGAUGCCAGUUGGUUGAAAAACAUGGCCGCCAGGAGGCGGGGUAUUUUUCCUUAUAUGGCUAUAAUAGUAAAACCUUGUUAACCCUCAUAGACGCCAAAUUUAUUUUCUGAUCAUCAUGAAACUUGCUCCGAUUGGUCCCAAUAAUAUCUUGGACAAGUUCGAAAAUGGUUCCGGUUGCUUUAAAAACAUGGCCACCAGGGGGCGGGGCAUUUUUCCUUAUACGGCUAUAUAUGGCUUUAGUAAAACCUUGUUAACACUCUAGAGGCAACAUUUAUUGUCGGAUCUUCAUGAAACUUGUUCAUAAGAUUUGUCCCAAUGAUAUCUUGGAUGAGUUUGAAAUAGUUCCGGUUGGUUGAAAAACAUGGCCACCAAGGGGGCGGGGCAUUUUUCCUUAUAUGGCUUUAGUAAAACCUUGUUUACACUCUAGAGGCCACAUUUAUUGUCCGAUCAUCAUGAAACUUGGUCAGAAGAUUUGUCCCAAUGAUAUCUUGGACAAGUUCGAAAAUGGUUCUGGUUGCUUGAAAAACAUUGCCACCAGGGGCGGGGCAUUUUUCCGAAUAUGGCUAUAUAUGGCUUUAGUAAAACUAGAGGCCACAUUUAUUGUCCGAUCUUUAUAAAACUUGGUCAGAAGAUUCAUCCUUAUUAUAUCUUUGAUUAGUUUAAAAAUUGUUCAGGUUGGUUGAAAUACAUACACCAGGGGGCGGGCAUUUUUCCUUAUAUGGCUAUUGUAAAAACUUGUUAACACUCUUUAAGUCACAUUUUUUGUCCAAUCUUCAUGAAACUUUGUCAGAAUAUUUCAUUUAAUGAAAUUUUGGAUGUGUACGAAAAUGUAUCCAGUCUGUUGAAAAACGUUGCCUCAAGGGUGUUCACUAUUUAUGAAAGUUGGUAAGAACAUUUGUUGUAAUGACAUCUUGGGCUGCACAGAACAGGUCAGUUCCUUUUAAUCUCAGGGGAGCUACUUUGGGCUUUUCAGGCUCUCUUGUUUCAUGAAUCUUGAAACAUGGACAGAUGGCAAUAUGGAGAUUAUACAUGUCAUUUCAUUUUGUUCCUAUGUCAAGAAUUCUGGUUGCUAUGGCAACAAAUAGACUAGACAUAUUGCUGAAAAUGGUGGAAUUUCACCGGUAGGGGACUUUCAUUGCUUGGCAAUAGUCUUGUUGUUUUGUAUGUUUUUAUUCUGCUUUAUUGUUCUCAAGUAUAUUUAUGUUUUCAAAUCUGAGAAAACUAGGCUUAAUUUAUGUGUGUAUAAUUUUGUCCAACAUAAGCCUGUGAAUCGGAGAUGAAACUUACCACAUAGAUCAGGGGUGGUAUUCCAGAAGCAUCUUAAGUUAAAUUUUAUAUUUAUCCUUAAAUUGGGAAAUUUUCUUAAGUGUUUCAUUUCAUAUUGCAAUAGAUUGGCAUGAAGAUAUACAUGUAAAUAACAUAAUUAUGCCAAUGUUAUUUUAGGAAUACCAAAAACACAUGUGUUUCCUUAUGUAGUAAAGAAAUACAAAACAUUGUAAUUUUUAACUUAAGUGAAAUUAUUUAAGAAAUGACUUGAGAUGUUUCUGGAAUACCACCCCAGAUGUUUGUUUAGAAAAAAUAUUCUUUAAAUACUGUGCUGAUUGCACAGUCUAAUCUGGGAUGAAACUUUAUGCAUAUUUAUGAAGCCCGGUUUUCCCAAUGCAAGGCUCAUAAGUAUUAAUUAAUGUUUAUAGAUAUUUACAAUAUUGUGGUUGGUACCCUAGAAAUAAAAAGACUAACAUGA